rnacentral:rRNA from 1 species
CUACGGGAGGCAGCAGUGAGGAAUUUUGCGCAAUGGGGGGAACCCUGACGCAGCAACGCCGCGUGAGUGAAGAAGGCCUUUGGGUCGUAAAGCUCUGUCAACUGGGAAGAAAUUAGAGUUGUUUAACAGAUGAUUCUAUUGACGGUACCAGUGGAGGAAGCGCCGGCUAACUCCGUGCCAGCAGCCGCGGUAACACGGGGGGCGCAAGCGUUAUUCGGAAUUAUUGGGCGUAAAGGGCGCGCAGGCGGUCUUGUCGGUCAGGUGUGAAAGCCCGGGGCUCAACCCUGGAAGUGCACUUGAAACAGCAAGAAUUGAGUACGGGAGAGGAAAGCGGAAUUCCUGGUGUAGAGGUGAAAUUCGUAGAUAUCAGGAGGAACACCGAUGGCGAAGGCAGCUUUCUGGACCGAUACUGACGCUGAGGCGCGAAGGCGUGGGUAGCGAACGGGAUUAGAUACCCUGGUAGUC